rnacentral:tRNA from 1 species
GCGGGUAUGGCGAAAUUGGUAGACGCGCUAGACUUAGGAUCUAGUGCCGCAAGGCGUGGGGGUUCGAGUCCCUCUACCCGCA